rnacentral:rRNA from 1 species
AAACCCGCACGCCGGAAGACCAAGGGUUCCUGCGCAACGCUAAUCGGCGCAGGGUGAGUCGGCCCCUAAGGCGAGGCAGAAAUGCGUAGCUGAUGGGAAGCAGGUCAAGAUUCCUGCACCGGCGUGAAAUGCGAUGGGGGGACGGAUCGCGGAAGGUUGUCCGGGUGUUGGAAGUCCCGGUCGCUG